rnacentral:tmRNA from 1 species
GGGGUCGACUGGUUUUGACAGCANGACGCAUGAAAAGGUAAGCAAGUCGAGCGCUGAAUUACAGCUCGUAAAUCUCAUUUUUCACAUUUUUAAAUGGCGAAAAUAACUACGCUCUAGCUGCAUAAUUAACCGAAUUACAGUAAGUUAAUGCCAAGUUCCGACCAGGUCGGAAAGCUGGAUGUCUCUGGAUAGCCCUUGUUGACGGCGAUCUAUAUUGAGGCACCAUAAAAGUCAACAUCGAAACACAAGAGCAUCGCUUGUGUUUUUCAAUUGAGAUGCUAAGGUGUAUGUAGACUGUUUUCGGUCAGUAUACAUUCGAAAAUUAAUCGAAGACUAAACUUGUAGAAAGCUUUUUAAUCGCUUGUUUGGACGCGGGUUCGAAUCCCGCCGACUCCACUC